GACGAACGCUGGCGGCGUGCUUAACACAUGCAAGUCGAGCGGAAAGGCUCCUUCGGGGGUACUCGAGCGGCGAACGGGUGAGUAACACGUGAGUAAUCUGCCCUUGGCUUCGGGAUAGCCACCGGAAACGGUGAUUAAUACCGGAUACGACCACUUCUCGCAUGGGAUGGUGGUGGAAAGUUUUUCGGCCAGGGAUGUGCUCGCGGCCUAUCAGCUUGAUGGUGAGGUAAUGGCUCACCAUGGCUUCGACGGGUAGCCGGCCUGAGAGGGUGACCGGUCACACUGGGACUGAGACACGGCCCAGACUCCUACGGGAGGCAGCAGUGGGGAAUAUUGGACAAUGGGCGGAAGCCUGAUCCAGCAACGCCGCGUGAGGGAUGACGGCCUUCGGGUUGUAAACCUCUUUCAGCAGGGACGAAGCGCAAGUGACGGUACCUGCAGAAGAAGCACCGGCCAACUACGUGCCAGCAGCCGCGGUAA
rnacentral:rRNA from 1 species